rnacentral:rRNA from 1 species
UACGUAGGGACCGAGCGUUGUCCGGAAUCAUUGGGCGUAAAGAGCGUGUAGGCGGCCACUUAAGUCCUGCGUGAAAUCUUGCGGCUCAACCGCAAGCGGUCGUGGGAAACUGGGUGGCUAGAGUGCGGGAGAGGAGAGUGGAAUUCCUGGUGUAGCGGUGGACUGCGCAGAUAUCAGGAAGAACACCCGUGGCGAAGGCGGCUCUCUGGAACGCAACUGACGCUGAGACGCGAAAGCGUGGGGAGCAAACAGG